rnacentral:lncRNA from 1 species
AACAGACCAGGCUGUUCAGAGCUUUGCCCAGUCAGGUCUGAAAAACAUUCAAGGAAAGCCAUCUCAUAUCUCCUUGAGUAGUCUGCACCAGUUCCUUACCAUAUCCAUGGGGAAAAGCCUUGUCUUCAUGCCUAGUACAAAACUCUUCCAUUUCAGGUCUGUGAGAAGCAUAGAUCCCCCUCUGUGACCACCUCCCCUAGGCCAGCUCAGCUCCAGUCCCUCAGCCUUUCAUCAUAGGCCCAGUUCUCCAUCCGCAACAAGUUCAGAGUCCCAAAGAACUCACGUCCAUUUGUCCAUAUAUUUCCCGGAGGGGGCCCAAACCCAGACACUGUAUCCAGACAUAGUCUCAUGAGCAUAGGCUAGAGGAAGAUGAUCCCAUUCCCUCAUAGAAACGCCUUGCUCCUACAAGUGGGAGCUGUUGGUUCAUGCCUGGCUCAUGGGGCACCAGUGCAGGUAAACAUUUAUUUAGGAGUUUCAAAAGGAAGGAAUGAAUGACUGCAAGCAUAAGAUUUAUAGGACAUAUGUAAUCAUGUGAAAAUCAGAUAGUGGUCCAGGAAGAAAUGUUUCACCAACACUGAAAGGAUCACAGAAAUAAGUAAUAUAUUUUCUGCAACUUUUUAAUUAAAGAGUGUCUCCUCAUUGUGGGAUUGGAUCCCAUACAAAUAAACUCUUUCCAAGCAGGGAGCUGAAGGGUGACAUCCCCAUAAGGCAGUGUUUGUAUUUCAGACUUCCCUAUUUAACAUACAGUUUGCCUUCCACCUACAAUGUUUUCUAUAAACACUGAACAGUUUGAACAGAACUGAAUUUUCAUUUCAUGGUUAUUUACACCUUCCUGUAUUACACCGGUUUAGAGCAGACUUUGCAUUCAGAUGUGAGCCUAUACCUGAGUAUAUGUUGAUCCUCGUACAUGUCUCAUGCAGGAAGAAGAAUAUUAAAUCAUCAUUCGAUCACAACUCAGUCCCUGCAAUGCAUUUGAGGCAGCAAAUGACAUGAUGCUCUCUUAUACAGAUUUCAUUUUGAGGAUGCAUUCAAGACCCAGAAGUAAACAAAUCUGGACAGUGCCUAUCACAGGUGACCAAUUCCAUUCUCGGUGCAGGAGCAAUAGCAGAGUAAUUCUG